rnacentral:lncRNA from 1 species
UAAAUACGCGGAGUAUGUCUGUAUUGUUGUAGCAAAACAAUCCGGCUUUUCAUUUCACAAGUGAGCAAAACACAUAUGUGAUUGUAUACAAGAAAUGUCUUAUGUACGGAAAAUUAAAUGAAAAGGAGAUAGUGGAAGGUAUUGAUAGUGAAGAAAGAACUUGAAAAUUCAUUGGAAAAUUAAUUAAGUAUUACUUGAAAGGAAUAUAGAAAUGAAAAAUGGUUAGUGUAAUUGGAAAAUGGAAAAUUGACGCCUGUGAAAACUUUGAAGAUUAUAUGAAAGCUAUCGGUGUUUCUGAAGACAAGAGACUGGAAGCACAUAAAGCGUUAUCGACGGGAUCGAACAUGACUCAAGAGUUUAUAGCCGACGGUAACAACUGGACUUUGACAACUUGAACAGUUGCCGGAGAGCGUUCAUUCCCAUUUACCAUUGGAAACGAGUUAGAUUCUAUGACAUUAGAUGGUCGAAAAAUAAAGGUUGUGUUCACAAUUGACGGUGAUAGCCUUGUAGAGAAUCAAAAGGGUGAUGGCUUCGAGUGUACACAUGUUAGGAAGGGAGAUGGAACUACUUUAACGAUG